rnacentral:rRNA from 1 species
AUGAUGGAGGAGGACCCACUGAUCCCGCUGGUGCACGUGUGGACCAACGCCGCCUUCGACUCCUCCUCCUCCUCCUCCGCGUUGCACGCGCACGCCACGCCCGUGCGCAGGGGCGAGAAGGAGAACCGCCGCCCCGCUCAAACCGACGACGUCGACGCCGAGAUCGCGCGCAUCGAGGCCGAGAUCCUGCGCCUCUCCUCCCGCCUCCACCACCUCCGCGUCUCCAAGGGCCACGACGCCAAGCCCACCGCGACGCGGCCGCGGCCGAGGGGGCUCAGCCUCGCCACCCUCGACGACCUCCCCGCUGAUGCCGCGGACCCCGACAACCUGCUCCUCCUCCCGGACAAGCAGCAGCCCCCGCCCGCCGCGCAGAAGCCCAAGCCCGCCGCCAAGCAGCAGUUCCCGGCGUCGCGGGGCGGCAGGGGGCUCAGCAUCGGCCCGCUCGACAUCGCCGCCGCGAACCCCACCAAGGCCCCCGCCGCCCGUCAACAGCCGCAGCCGCAGCCGCAGCAGGGCGCCGCGGCCAGCCGCAUCCUGAGGCCGAUCAAGGAGCCUCCCGUGCAGCGCCGCAGGGGCGUCAGCCUCGGCCCGCUGGAGAUCCAGCACGGCGUCAGCGGCACCAAGCCCGCCGUGGCGACGGCGGCCGCGGCGCGCGCGAAGGCGUUCCCCAGCAAGCUGAACGCCAUCCGAGAAGAAGGGCAGGCUUCCAGGCAGCAGCCCGCGGUCCCCGCCAAGCUAUGGCCGUCGAGCAACGCCAGGCAGCCGCUGGACAGCAGCAAGCAAGGCACGGCGGCGAGCAGGGCCAAGGCGAGGAGCUCCAGCAUGAGCCCCAGGGCGAGGAGGCAGUCCAUCGCCAGGGCCACGAACAGCACGAGGGGAGGCGUCGCUGGAUUCGGGGCUGCCAAGGUGGUGGCGGACGAGCUCACGCCCAAAGCUGCGAUGAACCACACCGGCAACGCGUCCACCUGCAGGAGGCCGGCAGGGAGCUCCAAGGUCAGGGUCGUCCCUAGCCGCUACAGCCUCAUGCCCGGCGCGUCCCUGGGAGCCGCAACACAAGACAAGCGCCGCAAGGAGUCUCUCCCGGGAUCAACAGAGGGCACAUGCCAGAAGGAGGAGAAGGAGGAGAUCAAAGAGAUGCCCACUGAGCCUGUCGACGAUGAUCUCUCUCCUGAAUCACUCGACAAGGUUGCUGAGCUGCUCCCAAGGAUCAGGACCAUGCCGCCUCCCGACGAGACUCCCCGCGACUCCGGAUGCGCUAAGCGGGCCGCCGAUCUGGUCGGGAAGCGAUCCUUCUUCGCGGCGGCCGCAGCAGGGGGCGAGGGCAGUGCCAUUUCCUCCUACCAGGCGCGGGUCCUCGAAGCCGAAGCACCGGAGGAGGCAGCAGCAGCAGCAGGGGACGCCUUGAGCGAUGAGGCAGCAGCAGCAGCAGAGGCCUUGAGCGAUGAGGCAGCGGCAUGA